rnacentral:tRNA from 1 species
GGUCCCGUCGGCUAAAGGUAAGGCUUCCAGUCUUUCAAUCUGGAGAUGCGAGUUCGAUUCUCGUCGGGACUA